GUGACCUAUUCCACGAUUAUCAAAUCCAAUCUAGAACUCCACCGCCUCCACCGACCGCCCUCUGCCCCCUAGCUGCUCCAUGGCCUGCAGCCAUAGCAUGGAUUGGGUUCUCUUCCGGCGUUGCGGCCGCCGCCGAGGCACCACGGCUUCCCCAACGUAUCUCCUCGCUGGGACGGUGCUCUCGACCUGCCGGCUGGUUCGCCGUGUGGCCGGUCGACGCCCGACCUCUCCCCUGCCACAAGCUCCCCAUGGCCGAGCUGCUCAAUGGCCUGCAGCCAUAGCAAGGAUUGGGCCCUCCUCCGGCGUUGCGACCGCCGCCGAGGUGCCACGACUUCCCCGACAUACCUCCUCGCCGGGAUGCCCUCGACCUGCCGGCUGGUUCACCGUGUCUGCUAGGGAUUCGGAAGAACGAUGUUGACUCCUCUCCGGCUAGAUUGGCAAACCUCUUCCUCUCUCGGCAACGAGCCAGUAUGCUGGCUCAACUCCAUGUCCCCCUCUCCUCUAUAUGCAAAUUAGAUGAAAGAAGCAGCAGCGAUGGGGCCUACACAUCUACAAGCUAUCAUCUAAUGAAGUCUUACAGUCACCUGAAAACAUCAUGAUACCAUUGGCUAUUGUUAUGAUUGGAGUUUCACACAUGACAAAUGUUCCUGUCAAAGGUACACCUACGGCAAUCUGAAUUUUGAAUUGCGUAAGUAAGCAACAUGUAUGUUGGUAGAGCUUUAUUGUUGGUCAUUAUGGCAAAAUGUUUCACGAGCCUACCUUUCGUGGUGCUUUACAUGCUUAUGUCUCUGCCAAGUGACUACGAUAUAAUUCUGAUUAUGGUUUCAAAUUAAGAGUUACAAUUGUUGCUGUUUUGUGGAGUGCGCAUGCACACCAAUUUUUAGUGGAGGCUCUGCAGCAGUAGGUGCAACAAGACGCAGUUGUCAUUCUUUUUGUUUCCUGACUGUCAGGCUGCAUGAAGGUGAUUUUUUUCACUUUAGACAAUUCAUUUUUCUCUUCAGUUUCCGUUGGUAAUUACAAUCAAUGUGUUUUAGUAAUGUGUUUUAGUAAUACCAGAUAUGUAAUAAACAAUAUGAUAAAUUCAUUCUUCAGCAAUAUAUGUACAAAAUUAAUUUGAAGCUCUGAAAUGAUCUUUGGGAAAAAAGUGUAUAAACUGCAUACGAAGAUUUCAUCUUCCUUACAGCGUUCUAUGUUGAAGAUCUAAAAGAAAAAAAAAAGUUAGUCUACUGUUGCAUUUUUAAAUAAGUUUAUUUGGAAAAAAUGUGUAGAAACUGAAUACUAACAUUUGAUGUGCUUUCUAUCGUUCUGUCCUGAAGGUAUCAAAGAACAGAGUGUGCCUUAUGUUGUAUAGUUAAGUUAUUGAUUGGUAGUGUUGUCAUUACUCAUUACCAUGGAUGGAAAUGCUUUUCAUGCAACCAAAUUUAUGCAGGGUUCAGCCACCGAGUUGAACUCUCAUGGUUUCCCAACUCCAUGGUCCCAAGCCAACAUGUGUUCUCCGGAAGCCGGAAUCUGCUUAUAUAUACAGCUGAGGUGAUGUCGGUAUGCCAUGUAGAUUGCAGUACUGCGACUGCUGUGCGGACUCCUGGUGUGCACAAAGAUCACUCAUCUUUCUCUCAAGAAUUUGUAGGGAAAUUGUGCUUCCAAAUCACAUCUCUAACCCGUUGUUAGAUAAACAUUCCCACUCGGGAGAUAUGAGAAUCAACCAGAUGAAAUAGAAUGGCACGGACCAGAAAAUGGAAGGCUUAACCCUGUUCAGACAACAUUGUACACUUUGUCCAAAGAAGAAAGAGAUUUCAUUGUGAUUACGUUUAGAACUAUUGAUAAAAUAACUAUGCAUUGUUGUUCGCUUAUCCCUAAACAUAUCAAUACCAUUGAUAACAUGCAGGGAAAGUACUAUAAGCUGGCAAUUAUUGUCACAGAGGUCGAUGAUUCUGAUGGCUGGUGGUUCAUGUCCUGCAAGGUAUGCUGGAAAAAGGGAUUACAUAAUGGAAAUGCUUAUAGAUGCACCGGGAAACUGCCCCUGCAAAGAAGGGAGGCACAGGUAAGCAACUGCCGCUACUCAUAUAAACCAUAUAAAUAAAGAUGUCUUUGUUCGCAGGUAAUACUGCUAGCCCAGCGUUGCCAUCGGGAAGCAACAAAAACUCCACCGUCUACAGAAAAAGCUUCGGUGCCUUCUCCAUCUGACGAAGUGGCAAAUGCAUAAGAAGAUAGCAUAGCUUCAGCCACCACGCCAAGCAAAUCCAUCUCAGAAAAGGCUGAAUCCAGUGUAGACAAUGUUAGUACAAACUGGACUUUAUCCAUGCUCUCAAUUCCAGGGCAGCCAAAGCUUAAAAGGGACACAGUAUUAUGCCAUAAUCUAGAUCAAAGAACAGCAGUUUUUCCUACUGAAGAUGUCAGCUCAGCAUCAGCUAAGAAAUAGUUCAAAAAGGCGCUCACCACUUGCCAGUAAGCAUAAAACUCAAACACAAGUUACCUAGGCUAGAACCAAUGCAGUUGUAAGAAAAUACCAACUUUACCUCAGGUCCAAGAACAGGUCAAUUCAGACUGAAAACCACCAGCAGAAGAGGAAGAUCGGUGAAGUGCAGAUUCCCUAGACUACCGGGAUCAGUUGUGAAAUAUUAUGUAGCUGCUCUAGACAAUAUGUGCUUUGAAGUACCUGGUACCUAGCCUGAUCCCAUAUUACUUCAGUGCUAUGUUUGCAUGUACAAUAGCACAAACCUGUCUACCGUUCCAGCAAGCACAAGCAACAAGUACUUCUGUUCUGUCUUUA